rnacentral:rRNA from 1 species
AUAUCAAUAAGCGGAGGAAAAGAAACCAACCGGGAUUGCCCUAGUAACGGCGAGUGAAGCGGCAACAGCUCAAAUUUGAAAUCUGGCCUCCUUUCGGGGUCCGAGUUGUAAUUUGCAGAGGGUGCUUUGAUGUCGGCAGCGGUCUAAAUUCCUUGGAACAGGACGUCACAGAGGGUGAGAAUCCCGUACGUGAUCGCCUGCCUUCGUCGUGUAAAGCCCCUUCGACGAGUCGAGUUGUUUGGGAAUGCAGCUCUAAAUGGGAGGUAAAUUUCUUCUAAAGCUAAAUACUGGCCAGAGACCGAUAGCGCACAAGUAGAGUGAUCGAAAGAUGAAAAGCACUUUGGAAAGAGAGUCAAACAGCAC